rnacentral:tRNA from 1 species
AGCCGUCAGCUGGACCGUCCGACUGGAAAACGGAAGGUCGGCGGUUCGACCCCGCCCCUGACCA